CCUAAUCCCGUGGAGGUGCAAAUAGUAUUGUGGUUGCAGGGCCCAUACAAGGCCCAAAUGGCCUAACCGUUGUGAAAAGGGGGGUGCGUCUAUUGGGGGUGUGAAUUAGGAAGCCCCAAAAACACCAUUUCCCAAAAUCGGGUUCGGUCCAGCUUCUGCUCUUGUAGCUGUAAACCAAAUCGCUGUUGCAAAUGCGAAACCUACAUGACAAACGAAAGGAUCCAUCGGUGCCUCGUUCGCACACCAUCGCCAUUGACGCAGUUUAGAAACCGAAGAUCAAUGCCAGCGCCACAAGAAAUCAACCAAAUAUUAACGGAGACGCACACACUUACGUCAUACGCGAAAGAAUCUCACCACAGGCAUCGGAAGAAGCUCCCUCGGUGGAGUACAUUGCACGAAGGAUGAGGAGUGUAGUGAAUUGAAUGGUUGUUCGGGGUGGUUCAGAAAUUCUCCUCACAAGAACUCGGGUUUUCACAGAUCUUCACCGCCGUAUCCUCCUAUCAAACGCGAAGAACUCAACCGCACAACCAAAAAUCAACUCAGUUUAAUUACUCUCCUCAAUUCAAUUGGGCGUCGUCAAUGCAUAAACAUCGAGAAGGAUUCAACAAUUUGCUUUCUCAGUUUAAUCGAAGAAUCAAGAACAAAUGAAUGACUCGUCAUCAAAUCGCAAUCAUCACUGAAAUCAAAUUUGUUACACUUGUUCUUGCGUACGGAAGAAAGGAGUUAAAAGGGAGAGGAGACCUACCGGAUUGUUCCUGCGUGUGGCUCAUGUUUUGGCGUUGCCGUCGUUUGGUUCGUACGUCUCCGUGUUUUGAUAGCGGUUUUGGCUUGCGUUAGCUGCAGCUGUUUUGGAUGCUUGAGCGUAGCAGCUUUGGAUGCGUUUGGAUUUGUAGUUUUCCUGCAGCAUUUGUACCUUCUGCAAAUUACUUUUUUCAUUUCAUGUACUUUUGAUUGUACUGCAACGCUUUUGCCAUGUUGUUGCAGCUUUCAUGUUUUGCAAAAAAAAUUGGACUCACACUUUGGUUA